rnacentral:rRNA from 1 species
CGUUAGGUGCCCUUCGGGGAAAGUUGAGACAGGUGGUGCAUGGUUGUCGUCAGCUCGUGUCGUGAGAUGUUGGGUUAAGUCCCGCAACGAGCGCAACCCUUAUAUUUAGUUGCCAGCAUUUCGGAUGGGCACUCUAAAUAGACUGCCGGUGACAAACCGGAGGAAGGUGGGGAUGACGUCAAAUCAUCAUGCCCCUUAUGACCUGGGCUACACACGUACUACAAUGGCCGGUACAACGGGCAGUGAAGCCGCGAGGUGGAACCAAUCCUAAAAAGCCGGUCUCAGUUCGGAUUGCAGGCUGCAACUCGCCUGCAUGAAGUCGGAAUUGCUAGUAAUCGCGGAUCAGCAUGCCGCGGUGAAUACGUUCCCGGGUCUUGUACACACCG